CCUAGGGCCCACCGCUGCAUGAGGCAGACUGUUCCACUGGCUUAAAGCAGGAAAUGAUGUGAGCAUCUUGUCUCAACACUCCCGUCUGCCACUCCCGUCGAACUCUCAGUGUUGUUGCUUCCGGCGGGAUUACAUCGGCAUUGCCCUGCUAAAGAGGCCCGGCGGUCUGGACUGCGAAGAGAGAGGGCACAGGCUCAGGCAAGUGAAAAAGGAUCGGGAAGGAAUCACGGGGGCACGGCGCACGGAGGCUCUCUGGCGCCGAGAAAGUGACGCUCAGGUGCACAAGUGGAGAUGCAUCUGUCCAGAAGUACAAACUGAGGUCCCAGGUUUCCUGGAUGGGGGUUGUGCCAGUAGAUGGAAGAUAAUCCCUGGCUUUUUGAACUUGGCUGUGGUUCUGAUACACUGGCAUCAGGCAGGAGAGAGAGAGGAGGAAUGGAGUCAGCUGUAUGAGGAAAACUUCCUGGGAGAUGAUAAGCCCCGGAGUGGAAUUCUGCCUGUGGCUGGACCUGACUCUGGAGCAUAGUUUUUUCCAUAACUGAUGAGAGAACACAUUCAGAUAGCAAUGGAUGACAUCGAAAUUCCAGAAGAAGUUGUGACAGACCAGAAUAAUCUCCAACGUGAUGGACCGCCUGACCAAAGCCAUGCUGAAAAGAAGGGAGCAGCCUACUUUCCUGAAGGAAAACAAGCUUUUAUGAAAUCAUCAAGGUGUAUGUGUCCCCAUCCCUAUCAACUUUGCAGUGCCUGAACCAAUCUGAACCAAAUUUGGCACAGUUGUCGGGACACCUCACCAGCAUAGUUUGUGAAAAUGUCAUCCACCCCAAUUCAAGACAUCAGAAGUGUGCACAUGCAAAUAGGCUAACUUGCAAAGAUGGUAAUUUCUCAAUUUAGAUUAUAGUGAAAGGAAAGUAGGCAGAUUAGUUCUUAGGAAAUCUUAUUUGUUCUAUCAUUUAAAGUGGUUAACCACGGAGGAGUGUUAUGUGUGUGUGAGAGAGAAAUAUAUAAAGCCCCAAACCAAAUGAAACCAUGAAAGUAACCAUGAGGCUGUUCUCACAAGCAGCCAAGUCUGUACUUGGCUGCCCAUGAGAACCACCGGGAUCCAUAACAAUUGUAGUGGCCCUGCAGUGCCAAACUAAGUGCCAAAGCUUUGGUCUUAGCUGAGAUUAAGCAAAUGCACCCUUAACCCAGCUGUCAGGAUCAUGUGUUGGUGCCUAGAGCGCCAGUAGUCUAGGUACCCACCUGCUGUCAAACUCCAUGUGCUUUUGUUUACAAACAGAAGCACAUGGCUGAGGAAUGAAAUCAUGGUGCCAAUGUGGGGUGCUGACAUCAUGGGAGCUGUCAAAAUUCGCUUAUGUCACUGGAAAUAACCAAAGGAGGGGCUUACAUCACAGAAAAUGGUCAGAGGAGACCCCUACAUGACCAGAAAGGGUCAGAACUAGGGGUACGACUUUACCCCUAGAAGUUUGGCUCCUCACCCUCCGCUCCUACCCCAGAAUAUGCCUGGGCAUGCCCCAAAGGUGGGCACGUGACCCCUCUAUGAACACAGCACUCCACCCUGGACCAAUAGGAAAAGGUUUCAGAGCCCAGAAAGGCCCAAUCGCACAGAUGUGAUAAUGGGUCAGCAGCCAUUUUGUGUAACUUUAUUGGCCAAAACGGGGUGAAGUGUCUCCUCUGUGAACAAAACCUACCACCCAAGGCCUAUGAACAAGUCCCUACCACUUUGCCAGCAUCGCUAACAAAUAAAGUCAAGGAAGCUUUAGAAAGGAAGAAGACUUCCUUCAGAAAGUAGAAGGCCUGCCCAAAUGAAGAGAACAGAAAGGAACACAAACUCUGGCAAAAUAAAUGCAAGGGUCAGGUGAAUAGCCUGUAUCUCUCUGAACCAUCUUGGUUUUGCAGACUCACUGUUUGUGUGAUCAUGGUGUCCCCAGAGAGAUCAUUGGAGCCAGCUUGUACCACUGACAGCUGUAAAACCAAGCCCAAGAAAGCAUUCUAUUAGCACAAGUUCUGAAGA